UCGGGAACUGGAGAGUGGCGCACGGGUGAGUAACGCGUGGGGACCUACCUUUUAGUGGGGGAUAACGGUUGGAAACGACCGCUAAUACCGCAUACGCCCUUCGGGGGAAAGAUUUAUCGCUAAAGGAUGGACCCGCGUUGGAUUAGAUAGUUGGUGAGGUAACGGCUCACCAAGUCAGCGAUCCAUAGCUGGUUUGAGAGGAUGAUCAGCCACACUGGGACUGAGACACGGCCCAGACUCCUACGGGAGGCAGCAGUGGGGAAUAUUGGACAAUGGGGGCAACCCUGAUCCAGCCACGCCGCGUGAGUGAAGAAGGCCUUCGGGUUGUAAAGCUCUUUCAGAUGUGGAGAUGAUGACGGUAGCAUCAGAAGAAGCCCCGGCUAAUUUCGUGCCAGCAGCCGCGGUAAUACGAAAGGGGCAAGCGUUGUUCGGAUUUACUGGGCGUAAAGGGCACGCAGGCGGUCUUGUCAGUCAGAGGUGAAAGCCCUGGGCUCAACCCAGGAACUGCCUUUGAUACUGCAGGACUUGAGACUAGGAGAGGGUGGUGGAAUUCCCAGUGUAGAGGUGAAAUUCGUAGAUAUUGGGAGGAACACCAGAGGCGAAGGCGGCCACCUGGACUAGAUCUGACGCUCAGGUGCGAAAGCGUGGGGAGC
rnacentral:rRNA from 1 species